rnacentral:rRNA from 1 species
AACGCGAAGAACCUUACCUGGUCUUGACAUCCACGGAAGUUUUCAGAGAUGAGAAUGUGCCUUCGGGAACCGUGAGACAGGUGCUGCAUGGCUGUCGUCAGCUCGUGUUGUGAAAUGUUGGGUUAAGUCCCGCAACGAGCGCAACCCUUAUCCUUUGUUGCCAGCGGUCCGGCCGGGAACUCAAAGGAGACUGCCAGUGAUAAACUGGAGGAAGGUGGGGAUGACGUCAAGUCAUCAUGGCCCUUACGACCUAGGGCUACACACGUGCUACAAUGGCGCAUACGAAGAGAAGCGACCUCGCGAGAGCAAGCGGACCUCAUAAAGUGCGUCGUAGUCCGGAUUGGAGUCUGCAACUCGACUCCUAUGAAGUUCGGAAUCGCUAGUAAUCGUGGAUCAGAAUGCCACGGUGAAUACGUUCCC